rnacentral:misc_RNA from 1 species
UACAGAGGGUGCGAGCGUUAAUCGGAUUUACUGGGCGUAAAGCGUGCGUAGGCGGCUUUUUAAGUCGGAUGUGAAAUCCCCGAGCUUAACUUGGGAAUUGCAUUCGAUACUGCUGAACUAGAGUAUGGUAGAGGGAAGUGGAAUUUCCGGUGUAGCGGUGAAAUGCGUAGAUAUCGGAAGGAACACCAGUGGCGAAGGCGACUUCUGGACUGACACUGACACUGAGGUGCGAAAGCGUGGGUAGCAAACAGG